AAAGUCGUAACAAGGUAACCGUAGGUGAACCUGCGGUUGGAUCAUUAACAAAUCUAGAAGGUCUUCAAGACCUCUCUAACAUUUUGUGAAUCGUUUAUUGUCUCUGGCGAGCUUGCUCGCCAAUUAAACUUUGUAUUAAACUACAGUCUAUAAAAGCUUUUUAUUUAAUUAAAAACAACUUUUAACAACGGAUCUCUAGGCUCUC
rnacentral:misc_RNA from 1 species